rnacentral:rRNA from 1 species
AGAACGAACGCUGGCGGCAGGCUUAACACAUGCAAGUCGAACGGUUGUAGCAAUACAGCAGUGGCGCACGGGUGAGUAAUACUUGGGAACGUGCCUUUCAGUCUGGGAUAACAGCGGGAAACUGCUGCUAAUACCGGAUAUUCUCUCCGGAGGAAAGAUUUAUCGCUGAAAGAUCGGCCCAAGCCAGAUUAGGUAGUUGGUGGGGUAAAAGCCUACCAAGCCUACGAUCUGUAGCUGGUCUGAGAGGACGACCAGCCACACUGGAACUGAGACACGGUCCAGACUCCUACGGGAGGCAGCAGUGGGGAAUAUUGGACAAUGGGGGAAACCCUGAUCCAGCCAUGCCGCGUGAGUGAUGAAGGCCUUAGGGUUGUAAAGCUCUUUUGUCAGGGAAGAUGAUGACGGUACCUGAAGAAUAAGCACCGGCUAACUUCGUGCCAGCAGCCGC